UAUAAAAAGAAAUGCAUUUUAAUCUACAGGAGCUAGCCAUGGACACAUUUUCCAAGGGAAAAAAAUUAGUCUGGCAUACUGCUGAUUAGCAUAGCGUAUUUCCCAGCACAGGCAAGUAUAUUCAGUUGUACAGUCCAACACAAAAGUGACUUUAUAUAAGACAAAACAUUUAAAAGUUAAACAGAAGACUAGAACUAGAGCUUCAUCAUUACUGGUGGUGAAAUUGGCUCUCAAUACUACUUUUUUUGUAGAAGUCUGGAGAUGUUGCCCAGGCUGGUCCACUCCUGCCCUCAAGGGAACCUCCUGCUUUGGCCUUCCCAAAAACUGAGCUUACAGCCUCUAGAAGGACAGAGAACAGACUGACUCCUGUCAAAAAGUGACAAUUCAGCACAAGUUCUCCACCUUAAAGAGAAGCACUGUGGAGAAAGAAGUUGCUGAUUUUGUUCCUUAUCUACUAAUUGUGUGAUACUCAACAAGAAUUGUAUGUGAUGAAAAGAUACUGAAUAUACAUCUUUCCCUCAAA
rnacentral:lncRNA from 1 species